UACGGAGGGUGCAACCGUUGCUCGGAAUUAUUGGGCGUAAAGCGCACGUAGGUGGCUCGUUAAGUCGGAUGUGAAAGCCCUCGGCUCAACUGAGGAAGUGCAUUCGAAACUGGCGAGCUUGAGUACUGAAGAGGGUCGCGGAAUUCCCGGUGUAGAGGUGAAAUUCGUAGAUAUCGGGAGGAACACCAGUGGCGAAGGCGGCGACCUGGGCAGAUACUGACACUGAGGUGCGAAAGCGUGGGGAGCAAACAGG
rnacentral:rRNA from 1 species